CUAAGGAAGAAAACCUAGGCAUUCCUCGUACCCGUGCGACUCCAUAAAAGCCUCGCGUGAGAAACGCUUCUUGUCUUAAGAGUUGCCCGGAUCCUUCCUUCCCUGUUGCCGAAGUUAAUACUCGCUUGUGGUCAUCAUGGGGAAAGAGAAGGUUCUUAUCAAUAUUGUGGUAAUUGGUCACGUCGACUCUGGGAAGUCAACCACCACUGGCCAUCUCAUUUACAAGUUGGGUGGCAUUGACAAGCGUGUAAUUGAGAGGUUCGAAAAGGAGGCCGCGGAGAUGAACAAGAGAUCAUUCAAGUAUGCUCGGGUGCUUAACAAGCUUAAAGCUGAGCGUGAAAGAGGAAUUACCAUUGAUGUUCCCUGGUGACAAUGUUGGUUUCAACGUGAAGAACGUCGCCGUCAAGGAUCUCAAGAGAGGCUUUGUUGCAUUCAAUUCCAAGGAAGAUCCUGCUAAGGAGGCUGCCAGCUUCACUUCUCAGGUCGUCGUCAUGAAUCACCCUGGUCAGAUUGGCAAUGGCUAUGCCCCGGUCAAGUUUGCCACACCUCCCACAUAGCAGUCGAGUCUGCUGAGCUCCUCACCAAGAUCGACAGGCGAUCCGGAAAGGAGCUUGAGAAGGAGCCGAAGUUCCUGAAGAAAGGUGAUGCUGGCUUUGUGAAGAUGAUUCCCACGAAGCCCAAUCCACCCCUUGGACGGUUUGCUGUGAGGGACAUGAGCCAGACUGUGGCCGUGGGAGUGAUCAAGGGCGUCGAGAAGAAGGAUCCCACCGGUGCCAAGAUCACCAAAAGUAUGGAUGGCUAUCGAUUCUUCCGAUAGUCAUAUGGAACUUUUAAUAGUGGAUAUAGAUUCCUUUCUAACACUAAGGGAGCACUUACUAA